rnacentral:rRNA from 1 species
UCGAGAAUCUUCGGCAAUGGGCGCAAGCCUGACCGAGCGACGCCGCGUGCGGGAUGAAGGUCUUCGGAUUGUAAACCGCUGUCGGAGGGGAUGAAAUGUAGGUGGGUACUCCCAUCUAUUUGACAGAGCCUCGGAGGAAGCACGGGCUAAGUUCGUGCCAGCAGCCGCGGUAAUACGAACUGUGCGAACGUUAUUCGGAAUCACUGGGCUUAAAGGGUGCGUAGGCGGCGGCUCAAGUCAGGUGUGAAAUCCCCCGGCUCAACCGGGGAACAGCGCUUGAAACUGGGUGGCUCGAGUGAGGCAGGGGUGUAUGGAACUUCCGGUGGAGCGGUGAAAUGUGUAGAUAUCGGAAGGAACGCCGGCGGCGAAAGCGGUACACUGGGCCUUGUCUGACGCUGAGGCACGAAAGCUAGGGGAGUGAACG